AUCAAUGAAACUGAUCUCUCCGUGAAGAAGCGGAGAUUUAACUAUAAGACGAGAAGACCCCAUGGAGCUUUAAACCUGACUACACCCCUAUCUAUUAUACCCUUAAAUCAACAGGGCCUUUGUCUGUCGGUUUUAGGUUGGGGUGACCGCGGAGCAUAAAUUAACCUCCAAGAUGAACUGGACUAACCCAUUAUCUAAGAUUUACACCUCAAAGAAUCAGCACACUGACAUAAAAUGAUCCGACAUUCGAUCAACGAACCAAGUUACCCUGGGGAUAACAGCGCAAUCUACUUCAAGAGCCCCUAUCGACAAGCAGGUUUACGACCUCGAUGUUGGAUCAGGGUAUCCUAGUGGUGCAACAGCUACUAAAGGUUCGUUUGUUCAACGAUUAAAACCCU
rnacentral:rRNA from 1 species